UACGAAGGGGGGCUAGCGUUGCUCGGAAUCACUGGGCGUAAAGGGUGCGUAGGCGGGUCUUUUAAGUCAGGGGUGAAAUCCUGGAGCUCAACUCCAGAACUGCCUUUGAUACUGGCGAUCUCGAGUCCGGGAGAGGUGAGUGGAACUGCGAGUGUAGAGGUGAAGAUUCGUAGAUAUUCGCAAGAACACCAGUGGCGAAGGCGGCUCACUGGCCCGGUACUGACGCUGAGGUGCGAAAGCGUGGGGAGCAAACAGG
rnacentral:rRNA from 1 species